rnacentral:antisense_RNA from 1 species
CUUCAGCGAGCCGAGCCAGAGCGGGUCCCGCCCGUCGCGGCCCCGGCCGUAGGUGGCCAGCAGGGCCUGGGCCUC